GACGAACGCUGGCGGCGUGCUUAACACAUGCAAGUCGAACGGAAAGGCCCUGCUUUUGUGGGGUGCUCGAGUGGCGAACGGGUGAGUAACACGUGAGUAACCUGCCCUUGACUUUGGGAUAACUUCAGGAAACUGGGGCUAAUACCGGAUAGGAGCUCCUGCUGCAUGGUGGGGGUUGGAAAGUUUCGGCGGUUGGGGAUGGACUCGCGGCUUAUCAGCUUGUUGGUGGGGUAGUGGCUUACCAAGGCUUUGACGGGUAGCCGGCCUGAGAGGGUGACCGGGCACAUUGGGACUGAGAUACGGCCCAGAAUCCUACGGGAGGCAGCAGUGGGGAAUAUUGCACAAUGGGCGGAAGCCAGAUGCAGAAACGCCGCGUGCGGGAUGACGGCCUUCGGGUUGUAAACCGCUUUCGCAUGUGACGAAGCGUGAGUGACGGUAAUGGGUAAAGAAGCACCGGCUAACUACGUG
rnacentral:rRNA from 1 species